AAUGAUUUUCAGUGAAGGUCCAGAAACUUCAUUCAAACAUCCAGUUGAAGGUCAUCUGAACAGCAGACCGCCGGAGGUUCACCUGGACUCACUGAGCUUCUCAGACUUCAGGUCGGAGAUGUUCUAGCGGGACCAUCGUCUGUAUCAGAGAACUGGACAGAAGGCCGCCAUAUUGGAUCAAGACGUCAUCAGUGAGCAGCGAUCAGUAUGAGUCAGCGUUUCUAUGGCAACCACUCUCACCAAUCAGAACCUGGGUCGAUCUGGACGACAGGUUUCAGACCAGAGGAAGCUCUGCUGACCUGCAGCAGAAGGUUCUGGAGACCUGGAGGGCGUGUUGGACCUGGCUCGGUGACAGGUGACGUGAUGCUGGAAGCCUCCCGCUCUCCGUGUGUGCUUUUCCUCACUGACACACGGCUGCUGUAAUACUUGGCAGGACGUGAGGGUGUCUGGCACACGAUGAGAGGGGCACAUUCAUGAGGUGAACUCGACCUCUGAGGAGUUCGGAGGAGGACCCACGGCGAGCUGCACAGACGCAGCGUCACAUGUUUGACCUGCAGCUCCGAUCUCUACUACGACCUCUAGAUCAGGAGAGUCGAACUCAACCUCACAGGGAACCAAAAUCCAAAACACACCUUGAGUCAUGGGCCGAACACUAAAACUACAUUUUAAAAACUUUAGGAACAUAACUUGUUAACAGAACUAUGAAAAACGGGCAGGAAUAUUAUUCUAGAAUAAAUUAACUAACAUAUUUUACUCUACAUAAAAAUAUAUAUUUUGUCAAAUAUUACAAGUUAGAAAUAAGUGCAAGAUAAC